rnacentral:rRNA from 1 species
AAGGUGUGCUGUGAGGCAUGCUGGAGGUAUCAGAAGUGCGAAUGCUGACAUAAGUAACGAUAAAGCGGGUGAAAAGCCCGCUCGCCGGAAGACCAAGGGUUCCUGUCCAACGUUAAUCGGGGCAGGGUGAGUCGACCCCUAAGGCGAGGCCGAAAGGCGUAGUCGAUGGGAAACAGGUUAAUAUUCCUGUACUUGGUGUUACUGCGAAGGGGGGACGGAGAAGGCUAUGUUGGCCGGGCGACGGUUGUCCCGGUUUAAGCGUGUAGGCUGGUUUUCCAGGCAAAUCCGGAAAAUCAAGGCUGAGGCGUGAUGACGAGGCACUGCGGUGCUGAAGCAACAAAUGCCCUGCUUCCAGGAAAAGCCUCUAAGCAUCAGGUAACAUCAAAUCGUACCCCAAACCGACACAGGUGGUCAGGUAGAGAAUACCAAGGCGCUUGAGAGAACUCGGGUGAAGGAACUAGGCAAAAUGGUGCCGUAACUUCGGGAGAAGGCACGCUGAUAUGUAGGUGAAGUCCCUCGCGGAUGGAGCUGAAAUCAGUCGAAGAUACCAGCUGGCUGCAACUGUUUAUUAAAAACACAGCACUGUGCAAACACGAAAGUGGACGUAUACGGUGUGACGCCUGCCCGGUGCCGGAAGGUUAAUUGAUGGGGUUAGCGCAAGCGAAGCUCUUGAUCGAAGCCCCGGUAAACGGCGGCCGUAACUAUAACGGUCCUAAGGUAGCGAAAUUCCUUGUCGGGUAAGUUCCGACCUGCACGAAUGGCGUAAUGAUGGCCAGGCUGUCUCCACCCGAGACUCAGUGAAAUUGAACUCGCUGUGAAGAUGCAGUGUACCCGCGGCAAGACGGAAAGACCCCGUGAACCUUUACUAUAGCUUGACACUGAACAUUGAGCCUUGAUGUGUAGGAUAGGUGGGAGGCUUUGAAGUGUGGACGCCAGUCUGCAUGGAGCCGACCUUGAAAUACCACCCUUUAAUGUUUGAUGUUCUAACGUUGACCCGUAAUCCGGGUUGCGGACAGUGUCUGGUGGGUAGUUUGACUGGGGCGGUCUCCUCCUAAAGAGUAACGGAGGAGCACGAAGGUUGGCUAAUCCUGGUCGGACAUCAGGAGGUUAGUGCAAUGGCAUAAGCCAGCUUGACUGCGAGCGUGACGGCGCGAGCAGGUGCGAAAGCAGGUCAUAGUGAUCCGGUGGUUCUGAAUGGAAGGGCCAUCGCUCAACGGAUAAAAGGUACUCCGGGGAUAACAGGCUGAUACCGCCCAAGAGUUCAUAUCGACGGCGGUGUUUGGCACCUCGAUGUCGGCUCAUCACAUCCUGGGGCUGAAGUAGGUCCCAAGGGUAUGGCUGUUCGCCAUUUAAAGUGGUACGCGAGCUGGGUUUAGAACGUCGUGAGACAGUUCGGUCCCUAUCUGCCGUGGGCGCUGGAGAACUGAGGGGGGCUGCUCCUAGUACGAGAGGACCGGAGUGGACGCAUCACUGGUGUUCGGGUUGUCAUGCCAAUGGCACUGCCCGGUAGCUAAAUGCGGAAGAGAUAAGUGCUGAAAGCA